ACAAGACUCCCUGCAGCACCGGGCGCACUGAAGGACGCGCAACGCCACUUCCUCGUUGUCGCUGCGUGAUGGCGUCACGCGCGAUUGACAGCACACGCCAGGUGAUGACGCACGGGGGUUCAUUAGCGAAGUGAUGGAGAAACGACAAACCACAGUGACGGAGAAUAGCCCCACUGGUUGCCAUGGUGCCCAGCACAAAUCCAUCUCAGUUUGUGUGCCUGUGCAGACUGAAGGGAAUUAAAAACACAAGCACUCUGAUGCAGGGGAGAAGCGUGUGAUGGCAUCCAACACGAUCAUCAAAAAAGGAGCACCAGCCCAAAGUCAUCGUCUGCAAGCAGGGUCCCAACCCCCUUACCACACUCAGCGACCAGCAGCUGGAGGAAUACCGCAGGGACAUGGAGCAGAA